AGAAGCUGGAAGUGAAGUGCUUAAGUUGUGUUAAUACAAAGUGUUUUAGAGGUAGAUUCACGUUCAAACUCUAAUAUAAGAAAACAUUUAAGCACACAACAUUCAACUAUAUUAAAGAAAAUUGAUCACAUUGAUAAUGCAGCGAACAAAAACACUUUAAUGAGAUGCAAUGAUGGAUCAUUGAAGCAUAAUGCUGGUAGUUCUUCAGAACAACCGGUUUUAGAAGAUUUUUUGAAGAACAAAAAGUUAAAUAGUCAAACAUUAACAAAAGUAGUUGAUAUUUAUAUGACUGCAUGACUAUAUACUGAUACAUUGCUAGUGAACGAUACGGUUGUUAAUGAUUUAGAAGAAAUCGACGCAUUCAACUUGAACUUUCUAAAUGAUGAAGACCAUGAUUUGCCAUAUGCAUUACCAAAACACCAUCGAUGUUGUGCACACACAAUAAAUUUAAUAGCAACAAUGGACUUUAAAAAAGCUAACUUGAAAAAAAAGAACAGUCACGAAGCACUUUUGCCAAGUCUACCGCUUUGUAGAAUCAACAAGGUCGCUCAACCAAGUCAACUGAUUUAUUUAAACAAAAUCUUUUUAUUUAUUUAACGCUGUGUAUAUACACCCGACCAUAGUUGGAAUUUUAAUGGACACCC